rnacentral:rRNA from 1 species
UGGGGGAUAUUGCACAAUGGACGAAAGCCUGAUGCAGCGACGCCGCGUGGGGGAUGAAGGCCUUCGGGUUGUAAACUUCUUUUGCUCUGAACAAGGCGCACCAUGGGGUGUGUUGAGUGUAGGGGUUGAUUAGCGCCGGCUAACUACGUGCCAGCAGCCGCGGUAAUACGUAGGGCGCGAGCGUUGUCCGGAAUUAUUGGGCGUAAAGGGCUUGUAGGUGGCUGGUUGCGUCUGUCGUGAAAGCUCAUGGCUUAACUGUGGGUUUGCGGUGGGUACGGGCUGGCUUGAGUGCAGUAGGGGAGGCUGGAAUUCCUGGUGUAGCGGUGGAAUGCGCAGAUAUCAGGAGGAAUACCGGUGGCGAAGGCGGGUCUCUGGGCUGUUACUGACACUGAGGAGCGAAAGCAUGGGGAGCGAACAGG